rnacentral:lncRNA from 1 species
GAAAGGGCCGGUAGCACAACAAGAAGCGCAAUGGCAAAGCAGUUAUGGAUGUCGAAGGAGCCAACAACUCCACUGCCGGCAAGAAGGCCAAGUCUGAGGGAUCCGACAAGGAUGUUCCCGCCUGCUCCGAAGAUGAUGAGGCUGCUACAGGGGAGAAGACCGACAUGCCAUACUGCAAGAUUCACCUGACCAAAGGCCACGACAUCACUGAGUGCUUCCAAGUAGAGCAACUUGCCGAGAAGCAGAAGCAAGAGUACGGAAGGUGCGACAAGGAGAAGGGCUAGGACAUUGUGGGUGGAUCUUGAAAGAAGAACCGUGGCAACCUCCACGGCA